rnacentral:rRNA from 1 species
CCUACGGGAGGCAGCAGUGAGGAAUAUUGGUCAAUGGACGAGAGUCUGAACCAACCAAGUCGCGUGAAGGAUGACUGCCCUAUGGGUUGUAAACUUCUUUUAUAUGGGAAUAACAUGUUCCACGUGUGGGCUUUUGUAUGUACCCUGUGAAUAAGGAUCGGCUAACUCCGUGCCAGCAGCCGCGGUAAUGCGGAGGAUCCGAGCGUUAUCCGGAUUUGUUGGGUUUAAAGGGAGCGUAGGUGGAUUGUUAAGUCAGUUGUGAAAGUUUGCGGCUCAACCGUAAAAUUGCAGUUGAAACUGGCAGUCUUGAGUACAGUAGAGGUGGGCGGAAUUCGUGGUGUAGCGGUGAAAUGCUUAGAUAUCACGAAGAACUCCGAUUGCGAAGGCAGCUCACUGGACUGCAACUGACACUGAGGCUCGAAAGUGUGGGUAUCAAACAGGAUUAGAUACCCCUGUAGUC